rnacentral:lncRNA from 1 species
CCACUAGCCACUUGAGCACUUGAAGUGUGGCUGGUCUGAAUUGAAAUGUGCAGUAACUGUAAAAUAUAAAUUCAAAGACAUUGUGCAAAAAAUGUAUAAAACAUCUCAUUAAUGAUUUUGAGUACCGAAUGCAUGUAGAAAUAAUGCCAUUUUGGAUCUAGAGGGUUAAACAAAAUAUAUCAUUAAAUUAAUUUGACCUAUCGCUUUUUGUUUUUUAAAUGUAGUUACUAAAAAAAUAUAAAAUUACAUAUGCAACUUGAAUUUAUAUUUCAUAUUACAUUUCUCUUGUACCAUGCUGGUCUAGACUGUAAGCCCAUGUGAAGGGAAGAGCUGGUUAACUCUGCUCACAAUAGAAUCACCACACACAUAAGGAGCACCCUUAAUAUUUGCUCAAUAAAUGACUGUGAGAACUUGAGUGGAGUUGUGAAGGUCACCUGGGAGUUAACCACGUGAGGGUGUGUGUUUGUUUUACGUGAGGAGAGAACCUGGGCCGGCAGCACCUUUCUAACAGAGAAAACAGAAAAGCAAAUGUGUGGAGGCAUGGACUAGUAUGGAGGUUUUAGGGAACUGAUAUUUUAGCAGAGUAAACAUGGGCAGGAUCACCACGGAGAUGCGUAUGCCAUAAUGAGGUAUUUGAACUUUGCUGAACGCAAGGGGAACCAGACUCAAUGAAGAAUUUUAAGCAGGGAAGCAACUUGAUCAGAUUUAUGUUAAAGAACUAACAAAGAAGUCAGGCAGAAGCUGAGCUGAAGGCAGGGAUGCCACUUUGGAGGCAUUUUUGUAAUCCAGGCAAGAAGGAAUGAGGUCAUCAGCAAAGGAGAAUUGGGUACCGAGGAAGAACAGUGGACUAACUCCAACUUUCUGGAAGAGACUUAUCUCUUCCUCUUAAAUGGGGAUCACUAUGGGAGUGUUUUCUGGGAGUCUCUGAAGGAGGAAUCGCACAGAAUGCCAAAUGUUCUGAUCCUAGAGGCUCAGAGACUGGAGUGGCCCUAGUUCCACAGUUUCUCAUCCUUUGCUCUUCAGUAACAUCAAACCUGGUCUCUACAAGAACAUCCCCACUUCCAAAAGACCACUGUAUAUAUCUUCUAGGACUGGCACAUGCUUUUGAGCUUAACAAAGGUAUAGGUUGGUAAUUAACAUACCCUUUUAAAUGUGUCCCCUCCAAAGUU